AAUGUGUGGCAGCAACGCACAUGGUGUGUGCCACUGCCCAGGCACACAGUGCAUCAGUCCACCAGUGAGUACACAUCACAGCCAACAAAAUCAUCUCUUUUACAUGGCACUCUUCUCUCCACAACCACAAGCCCACGGCCACCCCCACAGUGCACGAAAUUUUCUUCAAGGCCCCCCGCUACUCCUCUGCUUGCAUUUUAGCCCCCUCUUGCAACUCUUUUCUCUACUCCUUUAAGCCCCACAAGCGCUUCCAUUUCCUCAAGCCAUGUUCCUCCCUGAAACAGACCAACAAGCAGAAGACCCUUCAGAAGAGUAAUGCCCCUCAGAGUGUGAAACGGUUCUUGAGUCCCAAGAGUGGUGGUGGUGAUGAUGAUGAUGAAAAUAGGAGGACAGGAGAGGGCUUGGAUAGUGAUACUGCUUUAAAAGGUACCUUUUUGGCUGGAGUUUUGCUUUGUAGGUGUUGUUGGUGGAUUUGAGACCGUUGAGCAUAUCUGUAAGGACCAGAUUAAUGCGUUUUUGGACCAGUUUUCUGUGUUUAUUGAAGCUGAUUAUUGGAGGAUGACCUGAUUGUAUGGCGAUCGAGAAUUCUUACCAUUUUUAUAUGGAGAAAAAUGAAACGAGAAUUCAUCCUAAAUAUGCUCAAAAAUAUCAAAUAUGUAGUUUUGGAGUUGUUAGAUUCCUGGAUAAAUUUUGGCAGCACCUCCCCUGUAAAAUGGUGUCCCAGAAAUGUAUCUCGAACUCAGUUUCAACGUAUUCAACUCUACUGCAAUAAAAAUGAUAUGUGCUUUACCGUAAA